AUUGAACGCUGGCGGCAUGCCUUACACAUGCAAGUCGAACGGCAGCACGGACUUCGGUCUGGUGGCGAGUGGCGAACGGGUGAGUAAUGUAUCGGAACGUACCUUUCAGUGGGGGAUAACGUAGCGAAAGUUACGCUAAUACCGCAUAUUCUGUGAGCAGGAAAGCAGGGGAUCGCAAGACCUUGCGCUGAUUGAGCGGCCGAUAUCAGAUUAGCUAGUUGGUGGGGUAAAGGCCUACCAAGGCUACGAUCUGUAGCGGGUCUGAGAGGAUGAUCCGCCACACUGGAACUGAGACACGGUCCAGACUCCUACGGGAGGCAGCAGUGGGGAAUUUUGGACAAUGGGGGCAACCCUGAUCCAGCCAUGCCGCGUGAGUGAAGAAGGCCUUCGGGUUGUAAAGCUCUUUCGGCCGGGAAGAAAUCGCAUCAGCCAAUACCUGGUGUGGAUGACGGUACCGGAAUAAGAAGCACUGGCUAACUACGUGCCAGCAGCCGCGGUAAUACGUAGGGUGCGAGCGUUAAUCGGAAUUACUGGGCGUAAAGCGUGCGCAGGCGGUUGUGUAAGACAGGCGUGAAAUCCCCGGGCUCAACCUGGGAACUGCGCUUGUGACUGCACAGCUAGAGUACGGCAGAGGGGGGGUGGAAUUCCACGUGUAGCAGUGAAAUGCGUAGAGAUGUGGAGGAACACCGAUGGCGAAGGCAGCCCCCUGGGCCGAUACUGACGCUCAUGCACGAAAGCGUGGGUAGCAAACAGGAUUAGAUACCCUGGUAGUCCACGCCCUAAACGAUGUCAACUAGGUGUUGGGUGGGUAAAACCAUUUAGUACCGUAGCUAACGCGUGAAGUUGACCGCCUGGGGAGUACGGCCGCAAGGUUAAAACUCAAAGGAAUUGACGGGGACCCGCACAAGCGGUGGAUGAUGUGGAUUAAUUCGAUGCAACGCGAAAAACCUUACCUACCCUUGACAUGUCCAGAAGCCCGGAGAGAUUUGGGUGUGCCCGAAAGGGAACUGGAACACAGGUGCUGCAUGGCUGUCGUCAGCUCGUGUCGUGAGAUGUUGGGUUAAGUCCCGCAACGAGCGCAACCCUUGUCGUUAAUUGCCAUCAUUUAGUUGGGCACUUUAACGAGACUGCCGGUGACAAACCGGAGGAAGGUGGGGAUGACGUCAAGUCCUCAUGGCCCUUAUGGGUAGGGCUUCACACGUCAUACAAUGGUCGGUACAGAGGGUUGCCAAGCCGCGAGGUGGAGCCAAUCCCAGAAAGCCGAUCGUAGUCCGGAUUGCAGGCUGCAACUCGCCUGCAUGAAGUCGGAAUCGCUAGUAAUCGCGGAUCAGCAUGUCGCGGUGAAUACGUUCCCGGGUCU
rnacentral:rRNA from 1 species